UCCACGGGAGGCAGCAGUGGGGAAUAUUGCACAAUGGGCGCAAGCCUGAUGCAGCGACGCCGCGUGAGGGAUAACGGCCUUCGGGUUGUAAACCUCUUUCAGUAGGGAACAAGGCUGCACGUUGUGUGGUUGAGGGUACUUGCAGAAGAAGCGCCGGCUAACUACGUGCCAGCAGCCGCGGUAAUACGUAGGGCGCAAGCGUUAUCCGGAAUUAUUGGGCGUAAAGAGCUCGUAGGCGGUUUGUCGCGUCUGCCGUGAAAGUCCGGGGCUCAACCCCGGAUCUGCGGUGGGUACGGGCAGACUAGAGUGAUGUAGGGGAGACUGGAAUUCCUGGUGUAGCGGUGAAAUGCGCAGAUAUCAGGAGGAACACCGAUGGCGAAGGCAGGUCUCUGGGCAUUAACUGACGCUGAGGAGCGAAAGCAUGGGGAGCGAACAGGAUUAGAUACCCUGGUAGUCCAUGCCGUAAACGUUGGGCACUAGGUGUGGGGGACAUUCCACGUUUUCCGCGCCGUAGCUAACGCAUUAAGUGCCCCGCCUGGGGAGUACGGCCGCAAGGCUAAAACUCAAAUGAAUUGACGGA
rnacentral:rRNA from 1 species